UGAAUAUAGAGGGUCUUUUAAAGAAAAUAGUUUUAAGCUAGGAAAUAACUUUAAAGUGUUGUAGUUGACCACAAAAAGAAGCAGCAGGAGUAUUUCACAAUAAAGCUUAUAGUAUGAUAAGAGAAACUGGAUAAAAGAACAAGCUGUAACAAACAAG